AUAAACGCUAGUACCAUGCCUAACACAUGCAAGUUGAACGAAAAUUUAAUAUUAAAUUUUAGUAGCGCACGGGUGAGUAAAGUAUGAGAACAUAUCUACUAGUUCGGGAUAACUGGAUAAUACCACGAAUACCGAAUAUCUAAAGAUUAAUCGCUAGAUUUAGAUAGGCUCAUAUAAGAUUAGGUAGUAGGUGAGGUAAGGGCUCACCUAGCCUGUGAUCUUUAGCCGUUCUUAACGGGAGACCGGCCACACUGGGACUGAAACACGGCCCAGACUUCUUAGGAAGGCAGCAGUGAGGAAUCUUGGACAAUGGGCGAAAGCCUGAUCCAGCAAUGGUACGUGAGUGAUGAAAGUUUUUUAUUGUAAAACUCUUUACUUAAGGAAGAUGGUGACAUUAUCUUAAGCAAAAAGCCCUGGCUAACUCUGU
rnacentral:rRNA from 1 species